UACGAAGGGGGCUAGCGUUGCUCGGAAUCACUGGGCGUAAAGCGCACGUAGGCGGAUUGUUAAGUCGGGUGUGAAAUCUCGGAGCUUAACUCCGAAACUGCAUUCGAUACUGCCGUGCUUGAGGACUGGAGAGGAGACUGGAAUUUACGGUGUAGCGGUGAAAUGCGUAGAUAUCGUAAGGAAGACCAGUGGCGAAGGCGGGUCUCUGGACAGUUCCUGACGCUGAGGCACGAAGGUCAGGGGAGCAAAACGGG
rnacentral:rRNA from 1 species